UUGUGACCGUUGUUACGGUCA
rnacentral:miRNA from 4 species